UACGUAGGGGGCAAGCGUUGGUCCGGAUUUAUUGGGCGUAAAGAGCGUGUAGGCGGCCAGGUAGGUCUGCUGUGAAAACUCGAGGCUUAACCUCGAGCUGUCGGCGGAAACCAUCUGGCUAGAGUCCGGAAGAGGAGAGUGGAAUUCCUGGUGUAGCGGUGAAAUGCGCAGAUAUCAGGAAGAACACCCGUGGCGAAGGCGGCUCUCUGGGACGGUACUGACGCUGAGACGCGAAAGCGUGGGGAGCGAACAGG
rnacentral:rRNA from 1 species